CAGUCGCCACGGGAAUACGUAGGGUGCAAGCGUUAAUCGGAAUUACUGGGCGUAAAGCGUGCGCAGGCGGUUCUAUAAGACAGAUGUGAAAUCCCCGGGCUCAACCUGGGAACUGCAUUUGUGACUGUAGAGCUGGAGUGCGGCAGAGGGGGAUGGAAUUCCGCGUGUAGCAGUGAAAUGCGUAGAUAUGCGGAGGAACACCGAUGGCGAAGGCAAUCCCCUGGGCCUGCACUGACGCUCAUGCACGAAAGCGUGGGGAGCAAACAGGAUUAGAUACCCGGGUAGUCCCUGUCUCUUAUAC
rnacentral:rRNA from 1 species